ACGCCAAAUGAAAUAUUACAUUUAUUUAUUUAUUUGCUAAUUCUAAACUUAAUUUGGAACUAUAAAACCAAUUUCAAAACCUUACCCAAGCAAUUCCACCACUAAAAAUUAUGGAUAUUUUUUUUCACAAAACCCACCUUGUUACCCACCCGAUUUUUACAAAAUCCCCCUUCUACCUCAUUCUUUAUCCUCCUCAUAGUUGGCCACCAGCCAUUCCAGCGCAGCCUCGCCUUAACCCUCCCCUCAAAACACACUCACGCACACCCUGCUAAAACCUCUUACCCGCAAAUUCUUGGCUGCGUUCUAGUGCAGCCAAACUAGCUGCAACAAUAUUAAAUGUGAACAUAUAGUACAUUAAAAUGAACAUACGCUUUUUUCUUCCUUAUAUUUUAAUUCUCUCUCUUCUUCUUCCUUAGCUCUAUUAUUUUUCUCUCUCUUCAGUUUUCUUCUCAAUUUAAAAUUUUCUCUCUCCUCUCUACCUCACUUCCCUUCAAUCUUUAAAGUUUCUUCUUUAUUUAUAUAAAUUUUUUAAUUAGUAAUUUGUGUUUUGAUGGGUUUACUCGUUUCUUUCUAAAUCUAUGAGUUUCAGAUUCAAUUAAUUGACUUUAUCAAAAAGGAAAGAAAAAUAUGGAGGAGAGAAAAAAUUGAAGGUCAAUGAAAACAAUGGAGAUUUAAGGUAGAAGACGCUCUUUUUGCCACGAAGCCUUGGAAAGCUCCGGGUCCGGAUGGUGUUCCUGCUGGUUUCUAUCAAAAAAAUUGGGCUGGGUACAGGAAGAUGUGACAGAUGUUGUGCUUUCUUGCCUUAGAACAGAGCAUGGUGUUGAUUUGGGCGGAUCGCGGACAUGCUGUUUAGGUUAUUUGAUUUGGGCCGCGUGUUUUGGGCUUGCCCUUGUUGUAGCUAAGACAUAUUGCCUUUUACCAACAAGAUCAAAAUAUGGUUUUAAACCAAUUUUCUAUUUAUGCAUGGUGUUGAGCAAGUUUGUAAAAAAUAGUGGUUGGAUUGGUGAAAAAAAAAGGGCUUUAGACAAAGUCGCUUGCUUUACACUUAUUACACGGUGGUUAACGUUCCAAAUCCGAAAGAUCUCAAAAUGGUCAAAAUAAAGAGAUUAUUUAAGGUUUAAAUCAUACGGAGUAUUUUGAGAAUGCAUAUGUAUGCAGCCCUCUAUUUCCACAACUUACAAAUUACUGUUUUUUUUUUUUUUGACAAAUUAGAUUAUUUUUUAAGUUUUUUAAUGCAUCCCAAUCAAGAAACAUCUAAGUUUGCCAAAUAUGCAUGCUACAGCCUACAGGAUCGCA